rnacentral:rRNA from 1 species
AUGGAAUUAAGAUUUCCCAGGUUUAGCCAAGGCUUAGCUCAGGACCCCACUACUCGUCGUAUUUGGUUUGGUAUUGCUACCGCACAUGAUUUCGAAAUUCAUGAUGAUAUUACUGAAGAACGUCUUUAUCAGAACAUUUUUGCUUCUCACUUUGGGCAAUUAGCAAUAAUCUUUCUAUGGACGUCCGGAAAUCUGUUUCAUGUAGCUUGGCAAGGAAAUUUUGAAUCAUGGAUACAGGAUCCUUUACACGUAAGACUUAUUGCUCAUGUGAUUUGGGAUCCUCAUUUUGGUCAACCCGCUGUGGAAGCCUUUACUCGAGGAGGUGCUGCUGGUCCAGUGAAUAUUGCUUAUUCUGGAGUUUAUCAGUGGUGGUAUACAAUAGGAUUACGCACCAAUGAGGAUCUUUAUACUGGAGCUCUUUUUCUACUAUUUCUUUCUACACUGUCCUUAAUAGCGGGUUGGUUACAUCUACAACCCAAAUGGAAACCAAGCCUUUCAUGGUUCAAAAACGCGGAAUCUCGUCUCAAUCAUCAUUUGUUAGGACUUUUCGGCGUAAGUUCUUUGGCUUGGACAGGACAUUUAGUUCAUGUUGCUAUUCCCGCAUCCAGGGGGGAGUACGUUCGAUGGAAUAAUUUCUUAGAUGUAUUACCCUAUCCCCAGGGGUUGGGACCCCUUUUGACGGGUCAAUGGAAUCUUUAUGCCCAAAACCCUGAUUCGAGUAAUCAUUUAUUUGGUACCGCUCAAGGAGCGGGAACUGCCAUUCUAACUCUUCUUGGGGGAUUCCAUCCACAAACACAAAGUUUGUGGCUGACCGAUAUGGCUCACCAUCAUUUAGCUAUUGCAUUUAUUUUUCUCAUUGCCGGUCACAUGUAUCGAACUAACUUCGGAAUUGGGCACAGUAUUAAAGAUCUUUUAGAAGCGCAUACUCCUCCGGGGGGUCGAUUAGGGCGUGGGCAUAAGGGCCUUUAUGACACAAUCAACAAUUCGAUUCAUUUUCAGUUAGGUCUUGCUCUAGCUUCUUUAGGGGUUAUUACUUCCUUAGUAGCUCAACAUAUGUACUCUUUACCUCCUUAUGCAUUCAUAGCACAAGACUUUACUACUCAAGCUGCUUUAUAUACUCAUCACCAAUAUAUUGCAGGGUUCAUCAUGACAGGGGCUUUUGCUCAUGGAGCUAUUUUUUUCAUUAGGGAUUACAAUCCGGAACAGAAUGAGGAUAAUGUAUCGGCAAGAAUGUUAGACCAUAAAGAAGCUAUCAUAUCUCAUUUAAGUUGGGCUAGCCUCUUUCUAGGAUUCCAUACCUUGGGCCUUUAUGUUCAUAACGACGUCAUGCUUGCUUUUGGUACUCCAGAAAAGCAAAUCUUGAUCGAACCUAUAUUUGCCCAAUGGAUACAAUCUGCUCAUGGCAAGACGACAUAUGGGUUCGAUAUACUCUUAUCUUCAACGAAUGGCCCCGCUUUCAAUGCGGGUCGAAGCCUAUGGUUGCCCGGAUGGUUGAAUGCUGUUAAUGAGAAUAGUAAUUCUCUUUUCUUAACAAUAGGACCUAGGGAUUUCUUGGUUCAUCAUGCUAUUGCUCUAGGUUUGCAUACAACUACAUUGAUUUUAGUAAAGGGCGCUUUAGAUGCACACGGUUCCAAAUUAAUGCCGGAUAAAAAGGAUUUUGGAUAUAGUUUUCCUUGUGACCGCCCAGGGCGCGGCGGUACUUGUGAUAUUUCUGCUUGGGACGCAUUUUAUUUGGCAGUUUUCUAG